rnacentral:lncRNA from 1 species
GUCUCUGGUGCACUAAAGCAAAGACCAAAGCCUCUAUGCAACAUAGACCAAAAAGAUGCUGAUCUAACUGACUGUACACUAUAUCUAAAGGAAGAGCUGUCACUUGCCACUGUCUCACCAAGAAGAUUAAAAUGUAGAUGAAAAUUUGAAAUCCACCUUCAAAACCCUGAGAGUCGACUCCUAAUCAUGAUGACAGCAGAAAACCGAAACAAACAUCGGAUCCAACCGUGGUUCCUUUGUUAGUGAUACUUCUUAAGUAACCAACAUAUCAUAAGGAAAAGUAAAAAAAAAAGGAGCAAAAGAAGAAAAAAGGGGAAAACAUAAAGAAACUUUUUGGUGGCGAUGUUUCUACACGCACACACCAAAUGCGUAGUUGGUGAAAACUGUUAAUCGGUGUGAGAAAAUAGAAAAAAGAUAAAAAAAAUUAAUUAUAUUUUUAUUGUUAAAAAUCAAUAAUUAUUUUCACUUGAAGGUAAAUAAAAGGAAUUAUGUCUAAAGAAAAUCAUCUAUUAAAUCAUAUUGGUAUCAAUGUUUAUAUAUUUUUAUAAGAUCCAAUCAAAGAUCAAUGUAAAGAAAGAAGAUCCAGAAGUUGUCAUCUUCACUGAGGUCAGA